rnacentral:siRNA from 1 species
UGGUCAAAAUGUGUCAGAAUCCA